AAAAAAAACAAAAAACAUUUCUAUUAAAAAAACUUCAACAUAAAAGCCUGAAUUUCAACAUCAAUAACUGAUUCAAAAGAUUCCAUUUUAAUCAAUGGCCACCUUUAUUGUGCUAAUAAGAAAAUGCAAUAAGUUACUUAUGGAAAAAAAUUGCUUCAAAGACAACUUUUUAGGACCAAUAUUGAAAAAUACAAUGUUGAAAUAUUGGGCUGCAGGACCUGUCUGUAGGACCUUGUCUGUAGGGCCUGUCUGUAGGCCCCUGUUUGUAGGCCCUGUCUGUAGGCCCCUGUCUGUAGGACCCUGUUUGUAGGACCUGUCUGUAGGCCCCUGUCUGUAGGCCCCUGUCUGUAGGCCCCUGUCUGUAGGCCCCUGUCUGUAGGCCCCUGUCUGUAGGCCCCUGUUUGUAGGACCUGUCUGUAGGCCCUGUCUGUAGGCCCCUGUCUGUAGGCCCCUGUUUGUAGGCCCUGUCUGUAGGCCCCUGUCUGUAGGCCCUGUCUGUAGGCCCCUGACUGUAGGCCCCUGACUGUAGGCCCCUUCUGUAGGCCCCUGACUGUAGGCCCCUGUCUGUAGGCCCCUGUCUGUAGGCCCCUGUCUGUAGGCCCCUGUCUGUAGGCCCCUGUCUGUAGGACCCUGUCUCCUCAGUUAAAGUGGGUUGGAAAUAAUUCAUUAAGGUCUCUACUAAGCAAAUAUGUUUCGUUUUUGAGAGGGACUGUGUCGUAUAUAUCCAGCAGCACUUCGUGUUCUGCCCCCCUCCAUUGUCUCCCCCCCACCCCCCGUGCAAUGUAUAUGGAAUACACCAGGGCCAGUAGAGAAUUUAAAAACAACUUUACUUCCUGUCUCAGGUAAACCCAGGGUGAAAAACACAAAUAUGUUUUUAAAGGGGACUGUGUCAUAUAUAUCCAGCAGCACUUUGUUCUCCCACCAUAGAGGUGGACAGAAGGCUCACAGGCAGUCCACCAUAGAGGUGGACAGAAGGCUCACAGGCAGUCCACCAUAGAGGUGGAUAGAAGGCUCA
ensembl:lncRNA